AACGAACGCUGGCGGCAUGCCUAACACAUGCAAGUCGAACGAGACCUUCGGGUCUAGUGGCGCACGGGUGCGGAACGCGUGGGAACCUGCCCGUAGGUUCGGAAUAACUCCCCGAAAGGGGUGCUAAUACCGGAUAAUGUCUUCGGACCAAAGAGUUAUCGCCUUUGGAUGGGCCCGCGUUGGAUUAGCUAGUUGGUAGGGUAAAAGCAUACCAAGGCGAGGAUCCAUAGCUGGUCUGUUAGGAUGAUCAGCCACACUGGGACUGCGGCACGGACCAGAAUCGUACGGGAGGGAGCAGUGGGGAAUAUUGGACAAGGGGCGCAAGCCUGACAACGCAAUGCCGCGUGAGUGAUGAAGGCCUUAGGGUUGUAAAGCUCUUUUACCCGGGAUGAUAAUGACAGUACCGGGAGAAUAAGCUCCGGCUAACUCCGUG
rnacentral:rRNA from 1 species